rnacentral:rRNA from 1 species
GUGGCGAACGGGUGAGUAACACGUGAGUAACCUGCCCUUGACUCUGGGAUAACUCCGGGAAACCGGGGCUAAUACCGGAUACGAGACGCGACCGCAUGGUCGGCGUCUGGAAAGUUUUUCGGUCAAGGAUGGACUCGCGGCCUAUCAGCUUGUUGGUGAGGUAAUGGCUCACCAAGGCGUCGACGGGUAGCCGGCCUGAGAGGGCGACCGGCCACACUGGGACUGAGACACGGCCCAGACUCCUACGGGAGGCAGCAGUGGGGAAUAUUGCACAAUGGGCGAAAGCCUGAUGCAGCGACGCCGCGUGAGGGAUGAAGGCCUUCGGGUUGUAAACCUCUUUCAGUAGGGAAGAAGCGAAAGUGACGGUACCUGCAGAAGAAGCGCCGGCUAACUACGUGCCAGCAGCCGCGGUAAUACGUAGGGCGCAAGCGUUGUCCGGAAUUAUUGGGCGUAAAGAGCUCGUAGGCGGUUUGUCGCGUCUGGUGUGAAAACUCAAGGCUCAACCUUGAGCUUGCAUCGGGUACGGGCAGACUAGAGUGUGGUAGGGGUGACUGGAAUUCCUGGUGUAGCGGUGGAAUGCGCAGAUAUCAGGAGGAACACCGAUGGCGAAGGCAGGUCACUGGGCCACUACUGACGCUGAGGAGCGAAAGCAUGGGGAGCGAACAGGAUUAGAUACCCUGGUA